rnacentral:rRNA from 1 species
UACGUAGGGUGCAAGCGUUAAUCGGAAUUACUGGGCGUAAAGCGUGCGCAGGCGGUUUUGUAAGUCUGUCGUGAAAGCCCCGGGCUCAACCUGGGAAUUGCGAUGAAGACUGCAAGGCUUGAAUCUGGCAGAGGGGGGUAGAAUUCCACGUGUAGCAGGUGAAAUGCGUAGAGAUGUGGAGGAACACCGAUGGCGAAGGCAGCCCCCUGGGUCAAGAUUGACGCUCAUGCACGAAAGCGUGGGGAGCAAACAGG